GAAAUAUUUUUUAAUAUACUUAAAAUAUUAUAAUCGUAUAGUUCGUGCUACCACAACUUGAACGCCUGUAGAUUUAGCUUUAGCGAAUGCUUUUCUGUUUGAAACGGUCUUUUCUUGAAGAAAUUGGCUUAAUUAGUAACUCUGGUUAGCCACAUUAGAUCAGACUAGGUUUUAAUCAUUAACUUCCACAAAGGAGGAGUCCUGCUUUUUGUUCUCUAGAUAUGCAGGAACUUACCCUGACCUGUCCGUUUUCUGAAAACUUGUCGGUUUUCUGAAGCAGAUGGUCGGGUGCUCUGAGGCCCGAUUCCUGGGCUCUUGUUUCUGCUUUAGCAGCUCGUUUGUUGGGUGACCUUGAGCAAGUCACUUCCCCCUGAGCCUCAACUUCCUCUUCUGUUAAAUAAAUGAGAGAAUGUAUGCCUUCCGGCCUUAUUUUAUUUUCUAAAAGACUGUCAUUUCUGACCCUGGAUGGUAGAGAUGCUCUGUGAGGUUCAGGGAGGAGGAAAGAUAAUUUAGGGAGAAAUUUGGGGCACCAAGACAUGCCUAAUCACACCUCUUAGUCUACCACCUGGGUGCGCCCGGGGACAUCACUGCCCACCAGUCUUCUAGGUGUGGUCUUCGCUGAAUGGGGUGCAGAGACUCCCAGCGAUCCUCAGCAGGCUGCAGGUGCUGCGGGAGGCCACAGAGCAAAGAUGCACGUUACCUAAGAACAUAUUAUUUUCUCCCCACAAAGCUAAAGU